CCGGGUCGGCGGGAUUCGGGUCGGGGACCGGGACCGGGUCGGCGGGAUUCGGGUCGGGGACCGGGACCGGGUCGGCGGGAUUCGGGUCGGGGUUCGGUUCGGUGGCUGCGUCUGCGGGGUCCGGGUCGGCGGGUCCGGGCUGCGGGUCCGGGUUCCGGUUCGGGUCCAGGUCCCGGUUCGGGUCCGGUUUGGUGAGUGUGGAGCGUGGCUCCGAUCCCGGCUCCGUGACUCCGGGUUGCGGGUCCGGGUCCUGGUUCGGGUCCAGGUCCCGGUUCGGGUCCGGUUCGGCGAGUCCGGAGCGCGGCUCCGAUCCCGGUUCCGUGACUCCGGGCUGCGGGUUCGGGCCCCGGUUCGGGUCCGGUUCGGCGAGUCCGGAGCGCGGCUCCGAUCCCGGCUCCGAUCCCGGCUCGGCGGGUCCGGGCCGUGGGUCCGGGUGCAUGGGUCCGCGGGGCGGGUGCGGUUCCGGGAGCGGGUCCGUGAGCCCGGGGGCCGGCAGCGGGUCCGGCUCCGUGGAAGCGCGGGGCGGCUCCGGGCCGAGGCUGCGGGAGCGGAACCGGGCGCGGCCCGGGCAAAGGGCGAGCGGGGGGCGGGGCCAGGGCA
rnacentral:lncRNA from 1 species